rnacentral:rRNA from 1 species
CAGUAGCCGCGGGAAUACGGAGGAUCCAAGCGUUAUCCGGAAUCAUUGGGUUUAAAGGGUCCGUAGGCGGUUUAGUAAGUCAGUGGUGAAAGCCCAUCGCUCAACGGUGGAACGGCCAUUGAUACUGCUGAACUUGAAUUAUUAGGAAGUAACUAGAAUAUGUAGUGUAGCGGUGAAAUGCUUAGAGAUUACAUGGAAUACCAAUUGCGAAGGCAGGUUACUACUAAUUGAUUGACGCUGAUGGACGAAAGCGUGGGGAGCGAACAGGAUUAGAUACCCCUGUAGUCCCUGUCUCUUAUAA